AGUCGAGCGGUAACAGGAAUUAGCUUGCUAAUUUGCUGACGAGCGGCGGACGGGUGAGUAACGCGUAGGAAUCUGCCUGGUAGUGGGGGACAACAUGUGGAAACGCAUGUUAAUACCGCAUACGCCCUACGGGGGAAAGGAGGGGAUCUUAGGACCUUUCGCUAUCAGAUGAGCCUGCGUGAGAUUAGCUAGUUGGUGGGGUAAAGGCUCACCAAGGCGACGAUCUCUAGCUGGUCUGAGAGGAUGAUCAGCCACACUGGGACUGAGACACGGCCCAGACUCCGACGGGAGGCAGCAGUGGGGAAUAUUGGACAAUGGGGGCAACCCUGAUCCAGCCAUGCCGCGUGUGUGAAGAAGGCCUUAGGGUUGUAAAGCACUUUCAGGAGUGAGGAAGGGUGUACGGUUAAUACCCGUAUAUUUUGACGUUAACUCCAGAAGAAGCACCGGCUAACUCUGUGCCAGCAGCCGCGGUAAUACAGAGGGUGCAAGCGUUAAUCGGAAUUACUGGGCGUAAAGC
rnacentral:rRNA from 1 species